rnacentral:rRNA from 1 species
AGUGAACGCUGGCGGUAGGCCUAACACAUGCAAGUCGAACGGCAGCACAGUAAGAGCUUGCUCUUACGGGUGGCGAGUGGCGGACGGGUGAGGAAUACAUCGGAAUCUACUUUUUCGUGGGGGAUAACGUAGGGAAACUUACGCUAAUACCGCAUACGACCUACGGUGAAAGCAGGGGAUCUUCGGACCUUGCGCGAUUGAAUGAGCCGAUGUCGGAUUAGCUAGUUGGCGGGGUAAAGGCCCACCAAGGCGACGAUCCGUAGCUGGUCUGAGAGGAUGAUCAGCCACACUGGAACUGAGACACGGUCCAGACUCCUACGGGAGGCAGCAGUGGGGAAUAUUGGACAAUGGGCGCAAGCCUGAUCCAGCCAUACCGCGUGGGUGAAGAAGGCCUUCGGGUUGUAAAGCCCUUUUGUUGGGAAAGAAAAGCAGCAGGUUAAUACCCCGCUGUUCUGACGGUACCCAAAGAAUAAGCACCGGCUAACUUCGU